AACGAACGCUGGCGGCAGGCUUAACACAUGCAAGUCGAACGCAUCCUUCGGGGUGAGUGGCAGACGGGUGAGUAACGCGUGGGAACGUGCCCUUCAGUUCGGAAUAACCCAGGGAAACUUGGGCUAAUACCGGAUACGUGCGAGAGCAGAAAGAUUUAUCGCUGAAGGAUCGGCCCGCGUCUGAUUAGCUAGUUGGUGAGGUAAUGGCUCACCAAGGCGGCGAUCAGUAGCUGGUCUGAGAGGAUGAUCAGCCACAUUGGGACUGAGACACGGCCCAAACUCCUACGGGAGGCAGCAGUGGGGAAUAUUGGACAAUGGGCGCAAGCCUGAUCCAGCCAUGCCGCGUGAGUGAUGACGGCCUUAGGGUUGUAAAGCUCUUUCGUCCGGGACGAUAAUGACGGUACCGGAAGAAGGAGCCCCGGCUAACUUCGUGCCAGCCGCCGCAGUAACAC
rnacentral:rRNA from 1 species